GAUGAACGCUGGCGGCGUGCCUAAUACAUGCAAGUCGAGCGAACGGACGAGAAGCUUGCUUCUCUGAUGUUAGCGGCGGACGGGUGAGUAACACGUGGAUAACCUACCUAUAAGACUGGGAUAACUUCGGGAAACCGGAGCUAAUACCGGAUAAUAUUUUGAACCGCAUGGUUCAAAAGUGAAAGACGGUCUUGCUGUCACUUAUAGAUGGAUCCGCGCUGCAUUAGCUAGUUGGUAAGGUAACGGCUUACCAAGGCAACGAUGCAUAGCCGACCUGAGAGGAUGAUCGGCCACACUGGAACUGAGACACGGUCCAGACCCCUACGGGAGGCAGCAGUAGGGAAUCUUCCGCAAUGGGCGAAAGCCUGACGGAGCAACGCCGCGUGAGUGAUGAAGGUCUUCGGAUCGUAAAACUCUGUUAUUAGGGAAGAACAUAUGUGUAAGUAACUGUGCACAUCUUGACGGUACCUAAUCAGAAAGCCACGGCUAACUACGUG
rnacentral:rRNA from 1 species